rnacentral:rRNA from 1 species
CUAUACAUGCAAGUCGAGCGGAGUUUUGAAAAGCUUGCUUUUCAAAACUUAGCGGCGGACGGGUGAGUAACACGUGGGCAACCUGCCCUUGAGACGGGGAUAACUCCGGGAAACCGGAGCUAAUACCGGAUAACACAUAUCUUCGCAUGAGGAUAUGUUAGAAGGUGGCUUUUAGCUACCACUCAAGGAUGGGCCCGCGGCGCAUUAGCUAGUUGGUGAGGUAACGGCUCACCAAGGCGACGAUGCGUAGCCGACCUGAGAGGGUGAUCGGCCACACUGGGACUGAGACACGGCCCAGACUCCUACGGGAGGCAGCAGUAGGGAAUCUUCCGCAAUGGACGAAAGUCUGACGGAGCAACGCCGCGUGAGUGAUGAAGGUUUUCGGAUCGUAAAGCUCUGUUGUUAGGGAAGAACAAGUACCUGUUAAAUAAGCAGGUACCUUGACGGUACCUAACCAGAAAGCCACGGCUAACUACGUGCCAGCAGCCGCGGUAAUACGUAGGUGGCAAGCGUUGUCCGGAAUUAUUGGGCGUAAAGCGCGCGCAGGCGGUUCCUUAAGUCUGAUGUGAAAGCCCACGGCUCAACCGUGGAGGGUCAUUGGAAACUGGGGAACUUGAGUGCAGAAGAGGAGAGCGGAAUUCCACGUGUAGCGGUGAAAUGCGUAGAGAUGUGGAGGAACACCAGUGGCGAAGGCGGCUCUCUGGUCUGUAACUGACGCUGAGGCGCGAAAGCGUGGGGAGCGAACAGGAU